UACGGGGGGGGGCAAGCGUUGUUCGGAAUUACUGGGCGUAAAGCGUGCGCAGGCGGUUUUGUAAGUCUGUCGUGAAAUCCCCGGGGCUCAACCUGGGAAUUGCGAUGGAGACUGCAAGGCUAGAAUCUGGCAGAGGGGGGUAGAAUUCCACGUGUAGCAGUGAAAUGCGUAGAGAUGUGGAGGAACACCGAUGGCGAAGGCAGCCCCCUGGGUCAAGA
rnacentral:rRNA from 1 species